GACGAACGCUGGCGGCGUGCUUAACACAUGCAAGUCGAACGGAAAGGCCUGUCCUUCCUUGUGUUGGACGGGUACUCGAGUGGCGAACGGGUGAGUAACACGUGAGUGAUCUGCCCCCAACUUGGGUAUAAGCCUGGGAAACUGGGUCUAAUUCCCGAUAGGACUGCAGGGUGGUGCCUGUGGUGGAAAACGAUUUUCUAGUGGUUGGGGAUGAGCUCGCGGCCUAUCAGCUUGUUGGUGGGGUAAUGGCCUACCAAGGCGGCGACGGGUAGCCGGCCUGAGAGGGUGGACGGCCCCAUUGGGACUGAGAUACGGCCCAGACUCCUACGGGAGGCAGCAGUGGGGAAUAUUGCACAAUGGGCGGAAGCCUGAUGCAGCGACGCCGCGUGGGGGAUGACGGCCUUCGGGUUGUAAACUCCUUUCGACCGCGAGGAAGCCGCCUGGUUGGAAGGGUGGUGACGGUAGUGGUAGAAGAAGCACUGGCUAACUACGUG
rnacentral:rRNA from 1 species